AUUGAACGCUGGCGGCAUGCCUUACACAUGCAAGUCGAACGGCAGCACGGGAGCAAUCCUGGUGGCGAGUGGCGAACGGGUGAGUAAUAUAUCGGAACGUGCCCAGUCGUGGGGAUAACGUAGCGAAAGCUACGCUAAUACCGCAUACGAUCUAUGGAUGAAAGCGGGGGAUCGCAAGACCUCGCGCGAUUGGAGCGGCCGAUAUCAGAUUAGGUAGUUGGUGAGGUAAAGGCUCACCAAGCCGACGAUCUGUAGCUGGUCUGAGAGGACGACCAGCCACACUGGGACUGAGACACGGUCCAGACUCCUACGGGAGGCAGCAGUGGGAUAUUGGGACAAUGGGCGAAAGCCUGAUCCAGCCAUGCCGCGUGUGUG
rnacentral:rRNA from 1 species